rnacentral:rRNA from 1 species
GUAGGGAAUAUUGCGCAAUGGGCGAAAGCCUGACGCAGCCAUGCCGCGUGGAUGAUGAAGGCCUUCGGGUCGUAAAGUCCUUUUCUGAGGGAAGAACAAGCGAGGGAGUGGAAAGCCCUCGCCCUGACGGUACCUCAGGAAUAAGCAACGGCUAACUCCGUGCCAGCAGCCGCGGUAAUACGGAGGUUGCGAGCGUUGUUCGGAAUUACUGGGCGUAAAGGGAGCGCAGGCGGCUAGGUCAGUCUGAAGUGAAAGCCCGGGGCUCAACCCCGGAAGGGCUUCGGAUACUGCCUGGCUUGAGUACGUGAGAGGUGAGCGGAAUUCCAGGUGAAGCGGUGAAAUGCGUAGAUAUCUGGAGGAACAUCGGUGGCGAAAGCGGCUCACUGGCACGACACUGACGCUGAGGCUCGAAAGCGUGGGGAGCGAACGGG